GCUCCGGCCGCCAUGGCGGCCGCGGGAAUUCGAUUAGAGUUUGAUCAUGGCUCAGAGCGAACGCUGGCGGCAUGCUUAACACAUGCAAGUCUCACGGGCAGCAAUGUCAGUGGCGGACGGGUGAGUAACGCGUAGGUAUCUAUCUCUGGGUGGGGGAUAACUGUGGGAAACUACAGCUAAUACCGCAUGAUGACUGAGGUCCAAAGGCGCAAGUCGCCUGGAGAGGAGCCUGCGUACGAUUAGCUUGUUGGUGGGGUAAAGGCCUACCAAGGCGACGAUCGUUAGCUGGUCUGAGAGGAUGAUCAGCCACAUUGGGACUGAGACACGGCCCAAACUCCUACGGGAGGCAGCAGUGGGGAAUAUUGGACAAUGGGCGAAAGCCUGAUCCAGCAAUGCCGCGUGUGUGAAGAAGGUCUUCGGAUUGUAAAGCACUUUCGACGGGGACGAUGAUGACGGUACCCGUAGAAGAAGCCCCGGCUAACUUCGUGCCAGCAGCCGCGGUAAUACGAAGGGGGCUAGCGUUGCUCGGAAUGACUGGGCGUAAAGGGCGCGUAGGCGGAUGGCACAGUCAGAUGUGAAAUUCCCGGGCUUAACCUGGGGGCUGCAUUUGAUACGUGUGAUCUAGAGUGAGGAAGAGGGUCGUGGAAUUCCNCAGUGUAGAGGUGAAAUUCGUAGAUAUUGGGAAGAACACCGGUGGCGAAGGCGGCGACCUGGUCCUUUACUGACGCUGAGGCGCGGAAGCGUGGGGAGCAAACAGGAUUAGAUACCCUGGUAGUCCACGCUGUAAACGAUGUGUGCUGGAUGUUGGGCGACCUAGUCGCUCAGUGUCGUAGCUAACGCGAUAAGCACACCGCCUGGGGAGUACGGCCGCAAGGUUGAAACUCAAAGGAAUUGACGGGNGCCCGCACAAUCGGUGGAGCAUGUGGUUUAAUUCGAAGCAACGCGCAGAACCUUACCAGGGCUUGACAUGGGGUGGCCGCGUCCAGAGAUGGGCGUUCCCGCAAGGGCCACCUGCACAGGUGCUGCAUGGCUGUCGUCAGCUCGUGUCGUGAGAUGUUGGGUUAAGUCCCGCAACGAGCGCAACCCUUGUUCUAUGUUGCCAGCACGUAAUGGUGGGGACUCGUAGAAGACUGCCGGGGUCAACUCGGAGGAAGGUGGGGAUGACGUCAAGUCAUCAUGCCCCUUACGUCUAGGGCUGCACACAUGCUACAAUGGGCGGUACAGAGGGCUGCUAAACCGCGAGGUGGAGCCAAUCCCUAAAACCGCUCUCAGUUCAGAUUGCAGGCUGCAACUCGCCUGCAUGAAGUUGGAGUUGCUAGUAAUCCCGGAUCAGCACUGCCGGGGUGAAUACGUUCCCGGGCCUUGUACACACCGCCCGUCAAACCACGAAAGUUGGUAACACCCGAAGCCGGUGGCCUAACCGCAAGGAAGGAGCCGUCGAAGGUGGGAUCAGUGAUUGGGGUUAAGUCGUAACAAGGUAACCGUAAAUCACUAGUGAAUUCGCGGCCGCCUGCAGGUCGACCAUAUGGGAGAGCUCCCAACGCGUUGGAUGCAUAGCUUGAGUAUUCUAUAGUGUCACCUAAAUAGCUGGCGUA
rnacentral:rRNA from 1 species